AAGCAGUGGAGUAUGUGGUUUAAUUCGACGCAACGCGAAGAACUUACCAGGAUUUGACAUCCUCUGACGACGGUGGAGACAUCGUUUCCUUCGGGGCAGAGAGACAGGUGGUGCAUGGUUGUCGUCAGCUCGUGUCGUGAGAUGUUCGGUUAAGUCCGCUAACGAGCGCAACCCUCGCUGUGUGUUAUAUGUGUCACACAGGACUGCUGGUAUUAAGCCGGAGGAAGUGGGACGACGUCAAGUCAGCAUGACCUUUAUAUCCAGGGCUACACACACGCUACAAUGGUCAGUACAAUGGGUUGCCAAGCCGCGAGGCGGAGCCAAUCCUAAAAAGCUGGCCUCAGUUCAGAUUGCAGUCUGAAACUCGACUGCAUGAAGUCGGAGUUGCUAGUAAACGCAGGUCAGCUAUACUGCGUUGAAUACGUUCCCGGGGCUU
rnacentral:rRNA from 1 species